CUCAGUGGAGGCUCAGCACAGCAGCCAAACUCCCAAGCAGUUCCCAGCUGCAGGCAGCCUAAGCAAGCUAUAGUGAUUUCAGCUCUUAGUGAUUCUUUGUGAUUUCAGCUCUUUAGCUUGCUGGUGUUGCAGCAGCCGAUGGUGGGAGAGAGAGGAGAAGCACUGUUUAAGGUUCCACAGGAAUUCUUUAUUGCUGCCCCCCAUGAAGGUUCCAGGGACAGCUCUUCUGCCGAACCAGGCAGAAUCAGAGGUUUUUAUACCUUACAGGGGUUUUGGAAAUUGUCCAAUAGUAAGGGUCAGGGGAAAGUGACCUAUAGGCAUACAGAGAGAUAAGCAGGGUCCGAAAGGUGGAAGAGAGGGGCUGCUAAGGUCCAGUCAUGCUGACUUGGCAUUUCCUAGCUCAGGCUUCUGACCUCCAAGGAGGCCUUGCAGGCCCUGGGCCUGCUACAAUGCCCAUUUUUCAGGCAGCUAGAGCCAGGUGAGAUGCAUUUCAUCCAGGAACGCCUCCCUCUGUGAUGUCAAUUGACCACUGUUCUCUAUCAGUUAGGAAAGAGAAUUCAUUGAGCAACCGACCCCAGCACAGAAAAUUCACUCUGUUGAACCAAUGAAUUGGGAAUUUCCAUAGGAUGAAGGCACAAAUUUAAGAGUGAGCCAGCUGUACAGCUAAGCAAACAAAACUGAAUUCUCAAAAGUCAUACAACCUCUCACAGGAAUGUUUGUAUCUGACAUUAUAACAUUACCAACUCUAAUGAAGAUAUUCACCUGAAUCACAGAGAUGGAAGCUGCCUCUUUCCCAUUCUGCUGUUCCUGAUGUGCCCAAGCACACAUUUUUGUCAUUGUUAAACAUAUGAAACGAUCUUCUGCAUUGUCCUUGAGUGUCUCUGAAUAAAACACUGAGCAUAAACACAGCUAUUGGUGCAAUUCAGCGCAACAGUACGCAUCUGUAAUUUCAGAACUAUGCCAAGUUAAAAAACAAACAAUACAACAGCUUCUGUUCUUGAGUUAAAAGAGCUGAGCAAAAGUAAAAAUAUUUUCAUCUAUAUUAAACCUGUUCUUAUAAAUUUA